GUGGGGAAUAUUGCACAAUGGGGGGAACCCUGAUGCAGCAACGCCGCGUGAGUGAAGAAGUAUUUCGGUAUGUAAAGCUCUAUCAGCAGGGAAGAAAAAAGACGGUACCUGACUAAGAAGCCCCGGCUAACUACGUGCCAGCAGCCGCGGUAAUACGUAGGGGGCAAGCGUUAUCCGGAUUUACUGGGUGUAAAGGGAGCGCAGGCGGUGCGGCAAGUCAGAUGUGAAAACCCAGGGCUUAACCCUGGGACUGCAUUUGAAACUGUCGAACUGGAGUGUCGGAGAGGUAAGCGGAAUUCCUAGUGUAGCGGUGAAAUGCGUAGAUAUUAGGAAGAACACCGGUGGCGAAGGCGGCUUACUGGACGAUAACUGACGCUGAGGCUCGAAAGCGUGGGGAGCAAACAGGA
rnacentral:rRNA from 1 species